rnacentral:tRNA from 1 species
UCUCAUGUAGCUCAGUGGUAGAGUGUCCGACCGGUGUGCGGAAGGUCAUAGUAGGUUCGACUCCUGUUGGGGGAA